GAAUGUGAGGGCGAUCUGGCUGCGACAUCUGUCACCCCAUUGAUCGCCAGGGUUGAUUCGGCUGAUCUGGCUGGCUAGGUGGGUGCCCCCUUCCUCCCUCAACGAUCCAUGUGCGUCCCUCCCGAAGCUGCACACUCAGUUGAAGAGGACGACCACCCCCGAUAGAGGAGGACCGUUCCUCCGUCAAGGGUAUACGAGUAGCUGCGCUCCCCUGCUAGAACCUCCAAACAAGCUCUCAAGAAACUGUCCAAUCCUCGGUUCUGAAAACAACAACAACAACAAAAAGAAUCAGACGUUUCAAAAUCU
rnacentral:snRNA from 1 species